rnacentral:rRNA from 1 species
GACGAACGCUGGCGGCGUGCCUAAUACAUGCAAGUUGAGCGCUGAAGGUUGGUACUUGUACCAACUGGAUGAGCAGCGAACGGGUGAGUAACGCGUGGGGAAUCUGCCUUUGAGCGGGGGACAACAUUUGGAAACGAAUGCUAAUACCGCAUAAAAACUUUAAACACAAGUUUUAAGUUUGAAAGAUGCAAUUGCAUCACUCAAAGAUGAUCCCGCGUUGUAUUAGCUAGUUGGUGAGGUAAAGGCUCACCAAGGCGAUGAUACAUAGCCGACCUGAGAGGGUGAUCGGCCACCUUGGGACUGAGACACGGCCCAAACGCCUACGGGAGGCAGCAGUAGGGAAUCGUCGGCAAUGGACGAAAGUCUGACCGAGCAACGCCGCGGGAGUGAAGAAGGUUUUCGGAUCGUAAAACUCUGUUGGUAGAGAAGAACGUUGGUGAGAGUGGAAAGCUCAUCAAGUGACGGUAACUACCCAGAAAGGGACGGCUAACUACGUG